GACGAACGCUGGCGGCGUGCCUAACACAUGCAAGUCGAACGGAACUGUUUUGAAAGAUUUCUUCGGAAUGAAUUUGAUUUAGUUUAGUGGCGGACGGGUGAGUAACGCGUGAGUAACCUGCCUUCAAGAGGGGGAUAACAUUCUGAAAAGAAUGCUAAUACCGCAUGACAUAUCGGAAUCACAUGAUUUUGAUAUCAAAGAUUUUAUCGCUUGAAGAUGGACUCGCGUCCGAUUAGUUAGUUGGUGAGGUAACGGCUCACCAAGACCGCGAUCGGUAGCCGGACUGAGAGGUUGAACGGCCACAUUGGGACUGAGACACGGCCCAGACUCCUACGGGAGGCAGCAGUGGGGGAUAUUGCGCAAUGGGGGCAACCCUGACGCAGCAACGCCGCGUGAAGGAUGAAGGUUUUCGGAUUGUAAACUUCUUUUAUUAAGGACGAAACUU
rnacentral:rRNA from 1 species